AGCAGCCGCGGUAAUUCCAGCUCCAAUAGCGUAUAUUAAAGUUGUUGCAGUUAAAAAGCUCGUAGUUGAAUUUCGGGAUUCUACCAUUGGUCGGGCAAUAGUCUGUACUGGUGUGUAGAAUUUCUACCUUCUGGGGAACUAUCAUGUUAUUUAUUUAGCGUGGUAGGAAACCAGGACCUUUACCUUGAAAAAAUUAGAGUGUUCAAAGCAGGCUUACGUCUGAAUACAUUAGCAUGGAAUAAUAAAAUAGGACGGUGGUCCUGUUUUGUUGGUUUCUG
rnacentral:rRNA from 1 species